GCCACCGCUGUUUACACAUCUCACAAGUUGACCAUCCAUCUAUGACGAGCUCCAUUUGUCUCUCCCAGCGAGCUCCCUCAUCCAGGCGCAGCGGCAGUACUGACCGUCGUGCUACGGAAAAGAGCAGUAAACGCAGUAUAAGAUGAGCCGCAAAACGCCUAGGAGCAUGCCUAACCGUGGCUCAUACAGAAAUGUACUUACUGCUGCACACGGCAGAGUAUUCGCGUUCCCUCGACGGUAAAGCGACCGCAGCACCUCUAGUGAGCGCACUUGGUACCAACCUUCCUGUGGCGCUAAAGUCUUCGUCCUCGCUUGCCCAUCUGUUCCCAUCGGUUCUCUAGCUUGGCUCGAGGUUUAGUUUGUUUACAAUCGCGGGGCCACACCGACGUGCCGCCGAAUAGCGCCUUUUAGUGUUUUAGUACCUAGUUGCCUUUCCAUUGUUUACCCUAAUUUUGAGGGUCAUCGACUUUUUUUGUCGCAUUGUUCGCACUUGGUCGUGCUUCAUCAUUUUCCCAUUUCAUUUUCUGUCUUUUUUUUAAAAAAGAAAGAAAGAAAACUGGCUAGGUCGCGAGUGUUUCGUGUGUUGUGACACCUGUUUUUGGAUUAACAACGUGCUUUUUUGGACUCUUGAGGGUUGCUUCUGCUAGAAGUAAUUUCCCAACCCUCUGUAAACCAAGUGCAACCUUGGUUUUUUCUCUCCG